rnacentral:rRNA from 1 species
UACGUAGGGUGCAAGCGUUAAUCGGAAUUACUGGGCGUAAAGCGUGCGCAGGCGGUUUUGUAAGUCUGUUGUGAAAUCCCCGGGCUCAACCUGGGAAUGGCAAUGGAGACUGCAAGGCUAGAGUUUGGCAGAGGGGGGGUAGAAUUCCACGUGUAGCAGUGAAAUGCGUAGAUAUGUGGAGGAACACCGAUGGCGAAGGCAGCCCCCUGGGUCAAAAACUGACGCUCAUGCACGAAAGCGUGGGGAGCAAACAGG